rnacentral:tRNA from 1 species
GUCGGGUUAGUCUAAAUGGUCAGGACGCUACCCUUUCAAGGUAGAGAAGGGAGUUCGAAUCUCCUGCCCGAUA